AUCAAAAGGACUUUUCCAAGGCUUGUAAUGAGGCUGGGCUAACAAGAAGAAUCGGUUUUUCUGGAAAGCAAAGUCCUUGAGUUAAGAGAGCUAUCAUCGUAUUCAACAUUUAAGCAUAACUCUCUUCCUUACCAAUCUCACUUAUUCCCAACUUUUUCCCUUUUCUUUUGCAUUGAGCUCAUCUUCAUGCUUUUUCUUCUUUUCUUUUCUUUUUCUCAUGUAUUUUUCUUUCACAACUUUUGAGCUCAAUGUUUUUCAAUUGCCUUUCAAUUUCCCCCAUGAAACCCCAAACUUGAACCUUUUCAUCGCAUACAAUUAAGCUCAUCCCAACUCAAGGUAAAGAAUUUCA
rnacentral:lncRNA from 1 species